rfam:Gossypium raimondii Chr13_contig_45, whole genome shotgun sequence.
AAUAGGAGAAUAACAAACUAGAUUUUUCAUCUUGAUUUUUAACUUUUUUUUCUCCUAAAAAAAUUUAAAUCCAAUUGAAAAUGCUAAAAAUCAAGAGGAAAACGUUUAAGGUUGUCAUUCUCUUAUU